GAUGAAGAACGCAGCGAAAUGCGAUAAGUAAUGUGAAUUGCAGAAUUCAGUGAAUCAUCGAAUCUUUGAACGCACCUUGCACUCCUUGGUAUUCCGAGGAGUACGCCUGUUCGAGUGUUAUGAAGCUCUCAAAACGCAAUUGGCUUAAAACCUGAUUGUUGUUUUGGAUUUGAACUUUGCCGUGUAUAACGGCUGGUUUUAAAAGUAUUAGCUGGUACUAGAACGAAUUGGUUCUACUCAUCGUGAUAAUUAUCUGAUCGUUGAGGACAUUCCUUUCACGAGGAAUGGCCAUAGUAAAUUCAAUGGACUGCUUCUAAUCUGGCUUUAAUUCUUUAUUGGAUUAACCACUUUUCAAAUCUGACCUCGAAUCAGGUGGGACUACCCGCUGAACUUAAGCAUAUCAAUAAGCGGAGGA
rnacentral:misc_RNA from 1 species